rnacentral:rRNA from 1 species
UACGGGAGGCAGCAGUGGGGAAUAUUGCACAAUGGGCGAAAGCCUGAUGCAGCUAUGCCGCGUGUAUGAAGAAGGCCUUAGGGUUGUAAAGUACUUUCAUCGGGGAGGAAAAAACAAAACUAAUAAUUUUAUUUCUUGACGUUACCCGAAAAAGAAGCACCGGCUAACUCCGUGCCAGCAGCCGCGGUAAUACGGAGGGUGCUAGCGUUAAUCAGAAUUACUGGGCGUAAAGAGCACGUAGGUGGUUUUUUUAAGUCAGAUGUGAAAUCCCUGGGCUUAACCUAGGAACUGCAUUUGAAACUGAAAUACUAGAGUAUCGUAGAGGGAGGUAGAAUUCUAGGUGUAGCGGUGAAAUGCGUAGAUAUCUGGAGGAAUACCUGUGGCGAAAGCGGCCUCCUAAACGAAUACUGACACUGAGGUGCGAAAGCGUGGGGAGCAAACAGGGAUUAGAUACC